CUAGCGACUUCAGAGUUUGAUCCUGGCUCAGGGCGAACGCUGGCGGCGUGCCUAACACAUGCAAGUGGAGCGACGAACCAGGCUUCGGCCUGGGGCAAAGCCGCGAACGGGUGAGUAACACGUGGGUUACCUACCCCGAAGACCGGGAUAACCCGGGGAAACUCGGGCUAAUACCGGAUGUGCUCCGUCUGCUGCGGCAGGCGGUGGAAAGGAAGCUUCGGCCUCCGCUUCGGGAUGGGCCCGCGGCCCAUUAGCUAGUUGGUGAGGUAACGGCUCACCAAGGCGACGAUGGGUAGCUGGUCUGAGAGGAUGGCCAGCCACACUGGGACUGAGACACGGCCCAG
rnacentral:rRNA from 1 species